rnacentral:rRNA from 1 species
UGGGGAAUAUUGCACAAUGGGCGAAAGCCUGAUGCAGCGACGCCGCGUGAGGGAUGACGGCCUUCGGGUUGUAAACCUCUUUCAGUAAGGACGAAGCGCAAGUGACGGUACCUGCAGAAGAAGCACCGGCUAACUACGUGCCAGCAGCCGCGGUAAUACGUAGGGUGCGAGCGUUGUCCGGAAUUACUGGGCGUAAAGAGCUCGUAGGCGGUUUGUCACGUCGUCUGUGAAAUCCUAGGGCUUAACCCUGGACGUGCAGGCGAUACGGGCUGACUUGAGUACUACAGGGGAGACUGGAAUUUCUGGUGUAGCGGUGGAAUGCACAGAUAUCAGGAAGAACACCGAUGGCGAAGGCAGGUCUCUGGGUAGUAACUGACGCUGAGGAGCGAAAGCAUGGGUAGCGAACAGG